GACGUAGGUGGCGAACGUUAUCCGGAAUCAUUGGGCGUAAAGGGUGCGUAGAUGGCAUGAUAAGUUAUUAGUGGGAAAUCGAGGCUCAACCUCGUGGAAGCUGGUAAUACUGUUUUGCUUGAGUGCAGGAGAGGUUAACGGAACUCCAUGUGGAGCGGUAAAAUGCAUAGAUAUAUGGAAGAACAUCAAUAACGGCGAAGGCAGUUAACUAUUCUGCUACUGACAUUGAGGCACGAAAGCGUGGGGAGCGAACAGG
rnacentral:rRNA from 1 species